AGUGCAAUGAUUUGUGUGCGUGUCCCCCA
rnacentral:piRNA from 1 species